GCUCCUAUAGUGUAGCGGCCAAUCAUGAAGCCCUCUCGAGGCUUCGACACGGGUUCAAAUCCCGUUGGGAGCA
rnacentral:tRNA from 2 species